GUUUUCCAGCCUUGUGGAAUCAACAUCUCCAGCUGAACUGGGGCCGGGAAUUAUAUAAGACUCCUUAGCAGCAUGAGUGCCAGCCAGUCAUUGCUGUUCUUUGCAUUGCUGAGGAGGACAGUCAUGCCAACAUAACAGUUUGUUCAAUAACAGGAGACAAACAGAAACAUAGAGGUGCUAUACAUUCUGAUGGAAAAACAAAAGCAUCUCCCAUCAUUUUGGCGUGGCUCAGAUCAAGAGGAGAAUUUUAAGAAAGGUGAUGGUUGGGCACACACAAGAAGACAUAGAUCACAGGUGUCUAGCCAUAUGAGUAGAUAGGAGUGUCACACUCUGCCAAACUUACUUCAUCAGGCGAGCAGAAAGCUUCUCAAGAUCCCGCACUGCACACUAAGACAUAGUCUUUGACUACAACAAGGUGAUGAAAGUACAGAGAGAUCCAAUUGAAAUCAAUUCUGUGCUACUGUCAUUUCUUCAUUCUGGAAGUCGAUGGACAUGAUUUAUCAUGGCAUCAAGUGUGCAGUUUGCCGACUAUCAGCAGUCUUGUUCACCAGCUGUGCAACUUGAGCUGGUAGCUUUAUUGCUUGAAGCCACAGCAUAAGAGGGGGAAGGUGCAGGUUCAUCAAAAAGUCUCAAAAGUUGAAACUAGGAAAAGAAGUUUAUCAAGAGUGUGAAUCUAUUUUGAAAACAAUCGUUACAAUGAUUUGGUUUCCUUUGAAACUUGAUACAUACUAUGAAUUGAGAUGCUUAAAUAAAAAACCGCUAUUCAAUUAUCAGGAAACUGCCUUUUUCAUACUAAAGGGUAAAUGAUGUCGCCAUUUCCUGUAUGUAUUUAAAUAAGAUAUGUCUCCACAAUUAAUAUUUUUAGGGAAUUUUUCUCAACCUAAUGAAUGAGAUUAAAUUGUACAGUGUUAUAUGAGCUUAAUAUGUGUUUUCUCAUUCUUUAAAAUUGGUGAAAAAUUGUCAGAAGAUAAUUAGACCAGUAUCCAUUACUGCAAUCAUACAAUCAAAUAUACAGGGACAAGCCCACUAGGCAUAUAAUAUAAUUAAACCCUGUUUAGGGGCAUGAGGCAAACAGAGUUACUUUCAAACGUUAAAGCUGCACUCUCACACUUUGGAUGUUUUGACAACCUUUUUCAUUUUAUGUCUUGGAUUGGAACCAUCCAAUUUUUGUGAAAAAUUAAAUCCCAGAUUUUUCUAUUUAAGUUAAAACAUUGAUGUUUUUAUGCACUUUUCUUAAACCGUUAGUAACAUUAAUUUUCGAACGGAAAUAUGAAAUCUGCGAUCUGAUCUUUUGUCAGCAAUCUUUUAUCAUUGGUUUGCAGAUAAUUACGCCAAAACUUGCUCAUUCCAAGACAAAAAAAGUUGUGGAAACGGUAUAUCUGUGAGAGUGCAGCUCUAAAUGUUUAAUUGCUUGAUUACUACUGUAUUAGAAAUUACAGGGAUUGGGGCAUAUUUUUAGUGUUUUUAUUGCUUGGUUUUGAUUCAUACAGUCAUACUUUAUUCUUCAGGGCACAACUUACAAAUAGACAAAACUGGAAAAUGGUCAUAUCAAAAGGUCAAAGAUAAUGCAAGUUGAACAAUCAUAUUGUUCAUGGCUUGUAUUUUUGGUAUAUUUUGUUGCAUAUGCUAUAGAAAAGUUGAAAGUUAAAAAUAAAUUCAUAGUUGAAAUGAUGGCUUUGAAUGGUAUUGUCAGAUGAGAAACGGCACUAUUAAGCAAUAGGUAUAAUGGUACUUUAUUUAUUUUAAUCAAUUUUAGAUAUUAUGAAAAUUAUUAUCUUAUUUAGUACAUGAGACCUUUUAAACAGUUAUUGACAAUAUAACAAUGUGUAUAUGAAGCUUUAGAUCAACACUUAAAGCUGCACUCUUACAGAUUGUCAGUUUAGACACAAACUUGUCUCAAAAUCGGCUGAUUUGGUUAUCAUUCCUUUAAUUCAGUCAUAUUAGAUAAUUCACGAUAGAACCAAUCAAAAAUGUUUGGUAAAACUGCCGAAAAGUUCAUUUACAUUAAAUUGUUUGUAAUGCUUUUAGUCAUUGUUCGUAAUGCUUUUAGUCAUAAAACAUCAUUUUUUUUUAACAUAAAUAUGAUGAACUGCAAUAUGAUCUUUUUUCAGCAGUCUUAUAUCACUUCAAAUUGGGUCUAGACAUUUCUGCAAAAAAUACUCCAUUUAUAGACAAACAAUAAAAGAGUACCAGUAGUCAAAACGAUCAAUCGGUGAGAUUGCAGCUUUAAAUACACCUUUUAAGACCGCUGUAAAAUUCCAAUGGUUUGCCUAAAUCUUUAAAGCUAGCAUACUGUUUAAUUGACAACCAUACUUAUUGUUUAAAAGUGUCAUGAUAUCUUUGUACAAUGUUUUUAUAUAAUUCAUUAAAGAAGUCAAAACAAAUUUGUUUAUCUUGUAAUUUGUUAUCUAUUAUUUAAAUGACUCAGACAAAAAUGGGAACGUCAGUGCUAGUUCUUUUACUAUUAACAUCCCAUGAAGUUUCUAUUGGUGUAGCAGCAAGGAGGUGUUACAUUAAGGAUGCAUCAUUUAAACCAAAUUAUACAUUCAUAUGCACAUCAUACAGGCGUGUAGCCGCCUAUACGUGAAUACGCGGCUGAAUCCACAUGAUUCUGACAAAAAAAUCAACCAAA